CAGCACCUCAAGUGGUCAGGAUGAUUAUUGGGCCUAAAGCAUCCGUAGCCGGCGCUGUAAGUUUUCGGUUAAAUCUGUACGCUCAACGUACAGGCUGCCGGGAAUACUGCAGCGCUAGGGAGUGGGAGAGGUAGACGGUACCCGGUAGGAAGGGGUAAAAUCCUUUGAUCUAUUGAUGACCACCUGUGGCGAAGGCGCCUAACCAGUACGGAUCCGACGGUGAGGAACGAAAGCUAGGGGAGCGAUCCGGAUUAGAGACCCGAGUAGUCC
rnacentral:rRNA from 1 species